CGGGGCGUAGCUCAGUUUGGUAGAGUGCUUGCUUUGGGAGCAAGAUGCCGCAGGUUCGAGUCCUGUCGCCCCGACCA
rnacentral:tRNA from 1 species